GACGGAGGGGGCUAGCGUUGUUCGGAAUUACUGGGCGUAAAGCGCACGUAGGCGGCCUUUCAAGUCAGAUGUGAAAUCCCCGGGCUUAACCUGGGAAUGGCAUUUGGGACUGCAAGGCUGGAGUGUGGCAGAGGAGACUGGAAUUCCUGGUGUAGCAGUGAAAUGCGUAGAUAUCAGGAGGAAUACCGAUGGCGAAGGCAGGUCUCUGGGCUGAAACUGACGCUCAUGCACGAAAGCGUGGGGAGCAAACAGG
rnacentral:rRNA from 1 species